GCCGACUCAACGUCACUAAGCUUGGACGUGAUUGGCAUUCAUCUACAGCUUGUCCUCCAUGUGUUGGUGGGGGGAAGAGGCGUGGUUACAGCACAGUAGGGGGUUUAACACUUUGCUGUCCGAGCGCAGUACGGUGAAGGCGCGCCCAGUGCCGACCCAGCCCGUUGUGAGGCGCGCCUUCCUGCGAAAACACGCUCGAACCACGGUCACGCGCUGCAAGAAGGCAUUAAAAGUGGGCGGGGCAAGCAACGGUAGAGUGGGCGUGUCCACCCAAGUGCUGGUCGCGGCAGCAGAGUGGGCGGAGCUCCAGUGUGAGCGGGGCGGGGUCAGGCGCGCUGCGCUGUCUAGGAGUCGGGUGAGCUGGGAGCUGCUAACGGUCUGAAGCCGGAAAACGGGCUGGGUCUGUCCAGGGCGGCCCGCUGACUGCUCGGCUCUUCCUUCCAUGCCAGCUGGCCC